GCGGGGAUUCCUCCCCCCACCUCCCUACCCCUGUCUGAGACUGCACCGAGAAAAUCCUUUCGCUCGUGGAAAGCAGAGUUCUCUUUUCUCUCAUGACUACCAGUGGUAUUUCACUCCACCAUCUUUUUGAUUACAUGGCUUAAUUAGAAGUUCACUGUAAUUCUUAUCCUGAUCCUGUAUAGUCUUUCACUCAAUUCAUCCUGUCUCAGAGAAAUGGCACUCCCAGCUACUACUCAAUUCCAGCUAGGAGCUACCGGACAAUAUUGGCACACAAAGAAGAAUGAUAGACCAUUUUGAUUGGGACAGUGGGCAAAUCCACAUCCAACGAGGUGAGAAGAGUACCAAACAACCUACAGUCCCAUAAAUGAGAAGAUGCAGGAGCAACAACAUCUUAUAAUGACAAAGGUACAUGAGAGAAACUAUCAAGACAUCUACCACAAGGAGUGCUCAGGGUUGGGGCAUUUGAUUCAUGGAAGCUUAAAAGAGAACUUCCACCUGACACACCUGGCAUUUAGAGAAGGAAUGGUUAGGCCCAGUCCAAAUGCACAUAUAGCAUUCAAUAGUAAAACAGUUUUAUGUA